CCCUUAGAUGUUCUGGGCUGCACACGUGCUACACUGGCAGGUUCAGCGAGCUUCAUGCCCUGAUCUGAAGGGAAUGGGAAAUCUUUUCAAAACCUGCCGUGCUUGGGAUAGAUGUUUGCAAUUAUUCAUCUUCAACGAGGAUUGCCUUGUAAGCGCACGUCACCAGCGUGCAUUGAAUACGACCCUGUAUUCUGUACACACCGCCCGUCGCUCCUACCGAUUGAAGUUUUCGGUGAGUUGACAGGAGGAUUUUUUUGAAACUGGUUCGCCAGUGGAUUUUAGAUCCAAAUGCCAACGAAUCGAUGGCUUUAGAGGAAGGAGAAGUCGUAACA
rnacentral:rRNA from 1 species